ACUAAAUUAAUUUUAAAAAAUAAGAAAAAUUAGUUUUUAUGGUUGAGUUUUGUGUAUAAUUAAGUUGUACCCAACCACAAUCUCAUCCAUAAAAGCUAA